rnacentral:rRNA from 1 species
UACAGAGGUCUCGAGCGUUGUUCGGAUUCAUUGGGCGUAAAGGGUGCGUAGGUGGUCUGGUAAGUCGGAUGUGAAAUCCCGGAGCUUAACUUCGGAACUGCAUUCGAUACUGCCGGACUGGAGUACUGUAGGGGAGACUGGAAUUCCUGGUGUAGCGGUGGAAUGCGUAGAGAUCGGAAGGAACACCAGUGGCGAAAGCGGCUCUCUGGGACGGUACUGACGCUGAGACGCGAAAGCGUGGGGAGCAAACAGG